rnacentral:rRNA from 1 species
GGCAACCAUAACGGAGGGGAAACACCCGAUCCCAUUCCGAACUCGGAAGUUAAGCCCUCCGGUGCCGAUGGUACUGCGUGGGCAACUGCGUGGGAGAGUAGGUCGUUGCCG